GACGAACGCUGGCGGCGUGCUUAACACAUGCAAGUCGUACGGUAAGGCCCUUUCGGGGGUCCCCGAGUGGCGAACGGGUGCGUAACACGUGAGUAACCUGCCCACAACUUUGGGAUAACGCUAGGAAACUGGUGCUAAUACUGGAUAUGUGCUCCUGCUGCAUGGUGGGGGUUGGAAAGCUCCGGCGGUUGUGGAUGGACUCGCGGCCUAUCAGCUUGUUGGUGGGGUAGUGGGCUACCAAGGCGGCGACGGGUAGCCGGCCUGAGAGGGUGACCGGCCACAUUGGGACUGAGAGACGGCCCAGACGCCGACGGGAGGCAGCAGUGGGGAAGAUUGAACAAGGGGCGCCAGGCGGAUGCAGCAACGCCUCGUGCGGGAUGACGGCCUUCGGGUGGUAAACCGCUUUCAGCAGGGACGAAGCUUGUUGUGACGGUACCUGCAGAAGAAGCACCGGCUAACUACGUG
rnacentral:rRNA from 1 species